rnacentral:rRNA from 1 species
UACGGAGGGUGCGAGCGUUAUCCGGAAUUACUGGGUUUAAAGGGUGCGUAGGCGGCUAUGUAAGUCAGGAGUGAAAGUUUGCGGCUCAACCGUAAAAUUGCUUUUGAUACUGCAUGGCUAGAAUUAGGAUGAGGUCAGCGGAAUGUGGCAUGUAGCGGUGAAAUGCAUAGAUAUGCCAUAGAACACCAAUUGCGAAGGCAGCUGGCUAGACCUGGAUUGACGCUGAGGCACGAAAGCGUGGGGAUCAAACAGG